rnacentral:lncRNA from 1 species
CUUCUUUCAGAAACUAUAUACAGAAUAUGUCAUCCAAAUGACAGAGUGGUAACAACCAAUGCUAGCUUUAGUAAAGUAUUGCUGGAACAUAGUCUUCUCAUCUUUUAUUACGAUUCAUCACUACUAUUGGCUGAAUCAUUCUAUGGGACUUGCCAGAUCGCCAACCCAAGCAUGGACCAAUUUCUCAUUCCAUCUUCUAGAGAACCUUACAUAACCGAUUGGUGGUAUAGUGUGUUGGAGGUUUCUAAUGUAGCAUGAUAGACUUUAUGAGAAGUCAUGUUGUUUGAAGAUUAAGGACUAUACAGUCGACAAGGUUCUUUGCUAACCUGUUGGCUGCUACCCUUGAAUCUCCCUGUUUACUUCCUUACACGAGUCCUCUUGAUUUGAGGGUAAUCCUUCGCUACUGAUCAUACACCCACUGGUGAAAACCGACGAGAGAAUGCUGUAAUCCAAGACUGAUACAUUGUGUAGUUGUUAGAUAAAUUACAAGUGCAUAUCUGGGCUCCCUU